rnacentral:rRNA from 1 species
CCCUUAGAUGUUCUGGGCGGCCCGCGCACUACAUUGGCACUAGCAAAGAGAUCCUAGAUUGAAUUCUUUGGGGUAUUCUUCUAAAUGGUGUCGUGACUGGGAUGAAUCCUUGUAAUUAUUGGUUUUGAACGAGGAAUUCCUUGUAAUCGCGGUUUAUCAGCUCGCGUUGAAUGCGUCCCUGCCCUUUGUACACACCGCCCGUCGCUCCUACCGAUGGAUCGUCCGGUGAAGCUCACGGAGUGACUGUUCACGCAACGGUUUACGAAGUGAAAUGGACCUCACGAUUUAGAGGAAGGAGAAGUCGUAACA